rnacentral:rRNA from 1 species
UAAUACGGAGGAUCCAAGCGUUAUCCGGAAUCAUUGGGUUUAAAGGGUCCGUAGGCGGUCUUAUAAGUCAGUGGUGAAAUCUCCUAGCUCAACUAGGAAACUGCCAUUGAUACUGUAAGACUUGAAUUUUUGUGAAGUAACUAGAAUAUGUAGUGUAGCGGUGAAAUGCUUAGAUAUUACAUGGAAUACCAAUUGCGAAGGCAGGUUACUAACAAACGAUUGACGCUGAUGGACGAAAGCGUGGGGAGCGAACAGG